rnacentral:tRNA from 2 species
GUUCCUGUAGUUGAAUUCUAGUAACGGUGGUUUUUCAGGCCGCAGAUCUUGGAGAAAAGCCAAGUAGGAACC